rnacentral:rRNA from 1 species
AUGAAUGUUGAUGGCUGGUUGGCUAGGAGCGGAGCUCGAGGUGUGGCAGCAGUUAUAUGCAGAGACAAGGAUGGUCGCUACCUCGGAGCAUCAACCGUGGUGUUUGAUGGCCUCGUCGAUCCGGCUACCCUAGAAGCGCAAGCAUGCAAAGAAGCUCUAUCGCUUGCCUUUGAUUUACACCUAGCUUCAGUAGUUGUGGCUACCGACUAUGCAGAAGUGGUGGCGAACCUAGCACCUAAAGUUUCAUGCUGGUAUGUCACUGUCUUGCGGGAGAUCAAGCACCAGCAAACCCUCUUUCAAGCUAUCGAUUUCGUCCACGAGAAGCGUCAAUACAAUGGCGAGGCUCACGCCCUUGCCAAGGCGGCUUUCUCUCUUCCAUCUGGGCGCCAUGUGUGGCCAGUAGCUAUGCCUGAUAUAAUUUGUAUCCCUAGAAACAUUAUGAUUUAA